GCGUAGAAUCCCAGCUUGAGGAAGACAACUGGUCUAGCAGCAGACAGGAGUCACUGGGUCCUCUAUCUUGGAAUCACACAUAGUGUAUUCUGGAGCCCCCCUGCACCAUGAACUUGAGCUCACCUGGAUACCUUGAAGGUUCUGUUCUUCUGAGGAAGUCACCUUCCGAGGAGAUGUCAGCUAGGCUGAGAUCUGAAAGAUGAGAAAGUUUUAAUCAUAUAAGUGACAAGAGGAGGGGAAUUCCAGACAGAGAGCCUCUUGAAAACCCAGCUGGGGGAUGUCGACCUUCUGAGGAAGUGGAAAGGAAGAGUUCUCGUGAGUCAUUGUGGACUCGGUGGAAACAGCAGGAGCAUUAUCUCUCUGGGCUGUAGCAGAGUAUGUGGCUCACAAGUCUAACUCAACACAUAUUUGUUGAAUGAGUGAAGGAAAUGAGAACCCCAACCUGUUAGCAACCUCCUGUACGCUGGAAGAGAAACAUGUGCCGAAGUGUACAAAAGGCUCAAACCUGGAAACCACCCGAUGUGCUUCAGUAGUAGAGUGGAUAAAUAAACAAGGGUCAGGAGGCGACCUCUCUGCUAGCUGCCCGUUUCUGAGGCUAGGCUUGCGUUCUAAAGAGCAGCCAUCAUCUUCUCUCUAAGGUGAAACUCUGCAGCAUGCCCUGCUCAAACCCCUUCAUCAAAGUGCAGGAUAAAGCCAGACGCCUUAGGAUGGUAGGUAAGACCUUUUAUAAUCGGACCAGCUUCAUGCCUGCUGCCCGCCCGCACGGACGGUAAGUUGCUGUUUCACCCUGACUGCCCUGAUUGCUCUUGUUCUGAUGUUUGCUUUCCCUCUUUCCUCCAGUUAGCAUGCGCUUCCCUCUGUCUCCCUGACCAGGUUCUGCUCUCCCUCAGGUAGUGACUUCUCCCUUUUAGGAAGGGUUUGCUUCCUGACGUUCCCCAGUACUGUCUUCUCGGCCUGUCUCUGCUCCCUGAACCCUCCAGAGCACGUGGACUGAGGGCGGUGCUGCCGUGAGCCCAGCAUCCCCAGCCGGGGGUCUGACAGCCGUAGGUUCUCAAUCAGUGUGUGUGCAACAAGUGGACGGGUUAAAAACAAUUACCAUGUGCUUAACCUGCUUCGAGAAUAAAAGUGGCCCUCUUGUUAUUCCUUCUUCAGUUGAAUAUUUCUCUCAGUAGAGAAGAAUUCUAGUAAUACCUCUCCUUCUCUCAAAAUAAAACUUAGUUAAG